CCUACGGGAGGCAGCAGUGGGGAAUAUUGCACAAUGGGCGAAAGCCUGAUGCAGCAACGCCGCGUGAGUGAUGAAGGCCUUCGGGUUGUAAAGCUCUGUCUUUUGGACGAUAAUGACGGUACCAAAGGAGGAAGCCACGGCUAACUACGUGCCAGCAGCCGCGGUAAU
rnacentral:rRNA from 1 species